UACGGAAGGGGCAAGCGUUGUUCGGAAUCAUUGGGCGUAAAGGGCGCGUAGGUGGUUCUGUAUGUCUACCGUGAAAGCGUACGGCUCAACCGUAUUUAGUCGGUAGAAACUGCAGGACUUGAGGCUGGGAGGGGCUGGUGGAAUUCCCUGUGUAGCGGUGAAAUGCGUAGAGAUGGGGGAGAACACUCGUGGCGAAGGCGGCCAGCUAGACCAGUUCUGACACUGAGGCGCGACAGCGUGGGGAGCGAACAGG
rnacentral:rRNA from 1 species